AGAUCAAUCUGGUAUUUGCAAGACACCUGGACGAAUUACUCCCAGUUUGUAUAACCAAAUGGCAUCUGCAGUAAACUUGAGCUAUGGGUUGCGUCGUUAUGGCCCUUUCUUGGUUAACUUAGAAGACUGCACUUUCGUUCGGCAAACUCUUACCGUGAUCACCCACUCAUAUUGUCCGAAUUUGAGGCGAUAUGCUGAAUGGAUCUAUGUUGGGCUAGUGAUGGCAUCUGCUGCUGUAAUGCUGUCAUUGAUCUUCUGGGUAAUCUAUGCAAGAGAGCGAAGGCAUCGCGUAUAUACCAAGCAGCAGCUCAUUUCUAGAGGCUUGGAAGGCCGAGACAAGGCCCCAUAGAGAUGUGCUAAUUUAGUUAUUGGGUUGCUUUAUUCUGUGUAUACCUUUGGUAGCAUAUAUGGCAAUAUUUUUGGACUUUGUACGUUACAAGUCCCCCAUAGGCUUGGCUAUUUACUAAUACUCGGUAUAGCUCUCUU
rnacentral:misc_RNA from 1 species